rnacentral:tRNA from 1 species
GGUCUCGUGGAGCAGUCUGGAGUGCUCGCCACGCUCACAUCGUGGAGGUCGCUGGUUCAAAUCCAGCCGGGACUA